CCAAUCGAACCCGGAGAUAGCUGGUUCUCCUCGAAAUAGCUUUAGGGCUAGCCUCAUGGAUCAUUGAUGGGGGUAGAGCACUGAAUGUGCGCGGGGGCCACAAAGCCUACCAAACGCUAUCAAACUUCGAAUACCAUACAAUGCAGACCAUGGGAGUCAGUCCGCGAGAGAUAAGUUCCGCGGGCAAAAGGGGAACACCCCAGAUCAACCGCUAAGGUCCCCAAGUUCACGUUAAGUGGAGAAGGAUGUGGAAUUGCACAGACAACCAGGAUGUUGGCUCAGAAGCAGCCACACAUUUAAAGAGUGCGUAAUAGCUCACUGGUCGAGUGAUUGUGCGCCGAAGAUGUCCGGGGCUAAACGUGACACCGAAGCGAUGGGUGCAUCUGAAAGGAUGCGCGGUAGAGGAGCAAUGUGCAGAGGCAGAAGCCGUAUCGAGAGGCACGGUGGACACUGCACAAGAGAGAAUGCCGGUAUGAGUAGCGAGAGGCAUGCGAGAAACAUGCCCGUCGAAAGCCCAAGGUUUCCUGGGGAAGGUUCAUCCGCCCAGGGUAAGUCGGGGCCUAAGCCGAGGACGGAAGUCGUAGGCGAUGGACAGCAGGUGUAGAUUCCUGCACUACCGAUGGAAUGAAGCAGUGACACAGAAGGAUAACUCGAGCAGGGUGAUGGUCAACCCUGUGCAAGCAUCAAGGUUGGGUUGUAGUGAAGUACGCAACCCUACAAGCUGAGGUGUGAUGCGGACCGAAAUUUUAGUAGGGAAGCGAGUGAGUUCACGCUGGCGAGAAAAGCUGCUAGUACAUCCAAAGGUACCCGUACCGGAAACCGACGCAGGUGGGCGAGGAGAGAAUCCUGAGACGAACGGGAGAACCCUUGUUAAGGAACUCGGCAAAAUGACCCCGUAACUUCGGGAUAAGGGGUGCCUGCGAGAGCAGGCCGCAGAGAAUAGUCACAAGCGACUGUUUAGCAAAAACACAGGUAUCUGCGAAAGCGAGAGCUGACGUAUAGGUGCUGACACCUGCCCGGUGCUGGAAGGUUAAGGGAACAUGUUAGAGCAAUCGAAGCAUCGAACCGAAGCCCCAGUAAACGGCGGCCGUAACUAUAACGGUCCUAAGGUAGCGAAAUUCCUUGUCGGGUAAGUUCCGACCCGCACGAAUGGUGUAACGACUUGUGAGCUGUCUCAACAGGGGGCCCGGUGAAAUUGAAGUAUGGGUGAAGAUGCCCAUUACCCGCGACUGGACGGAGAGACCCCGUAGAGCUUUACUGCAGCCUGAUAUUGAGUUUCGGUAACUGAUGCACAGGAUAGGUGGGAGUCUGAGAGACAUGGGUUUCGGCUCAUGUGGAGACGGUGUUGGGAUACCACUCUUCGGUUACUGAAAUUCUAACAUAGCUCUGUGAAACCAGAGGAUGGACAGUGUCAGGUGGACAGUUUGACUGGGGCGGUCGCCUCCGAAAGAGUAACGGAGGCGCCCAAAGGUACCCUCAGAAUGGAUGGAAACCAUUCGAAGAGCGCAAAGGCAGAAGGGUGCCUGACUGCGAGAGUGACAACUCGAGCAGAGACGAAAGUCGGGCUUAGUGAUCCGGCGGUAUUGAGUGGAAAAGCCGUCGCUUAACGGAUAAAAGCUACCUCGGGGAUAACAGGCUGAUCUCCCCCAAGAGUCCACAUCGACGGGGAGGUUUGGCACCUCGAUGUCGGCUCGUCGCAUCCUGGGGCUGAAGCAGGUCCCAAGGGUUUGGCUGUUCGCCAAUUAAAGCGGCACGCGAGCUGGGUUCAGA
rnacentral:rRNA from 1 species